UUGAAAUAAAAUAUUUUUAGUAUCACGAGAUUGAAGACAAGAUGAGGAACACGUAUUUUAUCAGUAUUGCAAUUGUCGUAAUGAUGGUUAGCGUUGCUUUUUCGGAUUAUCCUGCAUGUAAAAACGGAUGUAAGUAUUUCUUGCUCAUAGUAUUGCUUGUUACAAACAUGCAUAUAAAUACAUGUUAAAUACAUGUAAAGUCCAUGUACAACUCAAUUUUCAAGAAAUAUGGAUAUGUAUUUUUUUUGUUUAUAUUCGACAAUUUUUUUCAAGAACACAAGUCUCUUAUCCGUGUUGCGUUUUCUCCUACAGUGCAUCCUGUCGCCAGUGGUCCACACCCAACGUGUAAAUGCUUGAGCAAACUUGAUGUAGAAUGUUCAGACGUGUUGUGUGAUUCAGUUUGUGCAGAUGAUUAUGGAGAAAAUUUGAUAGAUGUGUACUGUUACAACAGUUCAACAUGUAUAUGUGUAUAUGAAUGUUAAAACGAUAAGGAAUUUAUUAAAAAUAUUAUAUUUUUGUUAAUUU
rnacentral:lncRNA from 1 species